rnacentral:rRNA from 1 species
GCAGUCGAGCGAACAGAAGGGAGCUUGCUCCCGGAUGUUAGCGGCGGACGGGUGAGUAACACGUGGGUAACCUGCCUGUAAGACUGGGAUAACUCCGGGAAACCGGAGCUAAUACCGGAUAGUUCCUUGAACCGCAUGGUUCAAGGAUGAAAGACGGUUUCGGCUGUCACUUACAGAUGGACCCGCGGCGCAUUAGCUAGUUGGUGGGGUAAUGGCUCACCAAGGCGACGAUGCGUAGCCGACCUGAGAGGGUGAUCGGCCACACUGGGACUGAGACACGGCCCAGACUCCUACGGGAGGCAGCAGUAGGGAAUCUUCCGCAAUGGACGAAAGUCUGACGGAGCAACGCCGCGUGAGUGAUGAAGGUUUUCGGAUCGUAAAGCUCUGUUGUUAGGGAAGAACAAGUGCGAGAGUAACUGCUCGCACCUUGACGGUACCUAACCAGAAAGCCACGGCUAACUACGUGCCAGCAGCCGCGGUAAUACGUAGGUGGCAAGCGUUGUCCGGAAUUAUUGGGCGUAAAGGGCUCGCAGGCGGUUUCUUAAGUCUGAUGUGAAAGCCCCCGGCUCAACCGGGGAGGGUCAUUGGAAA